rnacentral:tRNA from 1 species
GGAUCCAUAUCUCAAUGGUAGAGCAUUUGACUGCAGAUCAAGAGGUCACCAGUUCGAUCCCGAUUGGGCCCU